UUUUUUUCUUUCUUUCUUAGAAUUUUUUGUACACAAUCCAGGCAGUGAAGCCAAACCCCCUUCAUCCAUGUCACAGGACUGGCGACUGACCUCCUCAGUUGGCAAUAAAGCUCUAGAUAUACUUUGAUCAAUAUCUGUUGUUUAAAAAUUAGAGCUGAGGUUGCACCUAUUCUAUUUUAAAUUAAGGGAAUUUAACCCCAAUUGUCUGUGUGUAGAGCACGGAGCAAACACCUUCAGCCAAACCACAAUGGACAUCCUCCAGCACCCACAUGCCUUUGCAGAAAUCUUUUGGCUGAACUGAGUCCUUGUCACUAGAACCCAACAAUGCAAUCCAUGGGGUCGAGAUAGCUCAUGGGAUAUGCCCCUAGUGAAGGCUUGUUGCACACUUAAUCUCAUAGGUUAAAUACAACAAAACAAUUUGAAUAUGCAUUGUUAUUUUAAAAUCAAGUUUUUUUCUGCAGAUAAAAUUAUUUCAUUUUUACAGACUACUUUUAGGCCUCAUCAUUUGGCACAGAGGAGAAAUGGGGAAAAUGCUUUUCUGAGAGCAUCUAUUUUCCAAGCAUAAAGCUUGGGGCUUCUGGAAAAAUCCCUCUUUUUCAAUCUUUGAGCUGGCUGAGUGGGAAAAGGUAAGCUUUCAACAUUCUUUUUACCCACGUUCCUCUAGCGAAGAUUACUCAGAGCAGCUUAAAUCAAAAUCAAGAGCUUUGUCACAUAUUAGCUCUUAGGGAGGGCAAGUAUAUUUAGAAAAGAAUAUUUGAGACUAAGCUUCCUGCAUUUAAAAAUCACCUACUAUUUGUGCAUGGAAAAUCACCUUCUGGCAAGUAUUUAUACCUGCCUUGGGCUCCAGUGGUCUCAGUACAAGGUGAAAAUACAGCUCAGCUCAUGGUCCUGCUGACCAGACCUCAGAAUGCCCUAAAAUGGGUAAUUCAGUGAGAAUACGUUCCUUGUGGCAUCAGCUUCAGGUGAGGUUUUACCUAAGGAGAGACUUUAAUAAAGGCAAUGAGAGGCUUUAAUAAGGGCAAUAAGAAAAGUCUCGCUGUGUGACUGAGGGCUGGGUUUGACUCCUGCUCUUUUUGGUUGUAAAAAUCAGGAUUAUUACUAUUAUUUUAAUAUGAAUCCCGUGAUAGUAAUAUUUUAACACAUUUCCUCCCCCAUGGUCAGUAGAGUUGUAUCAGCAAGGAAGAGACCACUGUAUUCACCGGGUAUGAAAC
rnacentral:lncRNA from 1 species